rnacentral:rRNA from 1 species
UACGGGGGGGGCAAGCGUUGUUCGGAAUUACUGGGCGUAAAGGGCGCGUAGGCGGUCUGCUAAGUUGGAUGUGAAAACUCUGGGCUUAACCCAGAGCCUGCAUUCAAAACUGACAGGCUAGAGUUCUGGAGGGGGAAGCGGAAUUCCUGGUGUAGCGGUGAAAUGCGUAGAUAUCAGGAGGAACACCGGUGGCGAAGGCG